rnacentral:rRNA from 1 species
GACGAACGCUGGCGGCGUGCUUAACACAUGCAAGUCGAACGGAAAGGCCCUGCUUUUGUGGGGUGCUCGAGUGGCGAACGGGUGAGUAACACGUGAGUAACCUGCCCUUGACUUUGGGAUAACUUCAGGAAACUGGGGCUAAUACCGGAUAGGAGCUCCUGCUGCAUGGUGGGGGUUGGAAAGUUUCGGCGGUUGGGGAUGGACUCGCGGCUUAUCAGCUUGUUGGUGGGGUAGUGGCUUACCAAGGCUUUGACGGGUAGCCGGCCUGAGAGGGUGACCGGCCACAUUGGGACUGAGAUACGGCCCAGACUCCUACGGGAGGCAGCAGUGGGGAAUAUUGCACAAUGGGCGGAAGCCUGAUGCAGCAAAGCCGCGUGCGGGAUGACGGCCUUCGGGUUGUAAACCGAUUUCGCCUGUGACGAAGCGUGAGUGACGGUAAUGGGUAAAGAAGCACCGGCUAACUACGUG